AGCAUCUGAGAUCAAGUAGGAUCACC
rnacentral:rRNA from 1 species